GGUUCAUCCCACUAUAAAAUGAAAGCAUCCUCUCCUAACCCAAACACAAACCCACAGCACUAGCAACAUAAAUCCAAACAUGUACUCAAAGAAAUCCCUUCUCUCUCUCCUCUUCUUACUACUAAUAGCUUCCUCCAAUGAAUCAUCAUCCCCAGCAUCUGCAUCUGAGGAAGCAACAGUUCUCCUCAAAUGGAAAGCCAGUCUCUCUCAAACAGAGGCUCUCCGUUCAUGGUCCUUAUUCCCCAUUGCCAACGCUUCUGCCACCCGACAUAGCUCUCCAUGCAACUGGACUGGAAUCUCAUGCGAUCAUGCAGAAAGCGUAGUUGAAAUAACCCUGUGGAAUACGAGCUUGCAAGGUACGCUUGAUCAUUUGAGCUUCUCUUCAUUUCCCAACCUCGUCCACCUCAAUCUCAGCCAAAACUCACUCCAUGGAAUUAUUCCAACCCAGAUUGGUUCUCUUUCAAAACUCGUCUACCUUGAUUUGUCUGCCAAUCAACUGUCGGGUACGUAGCCUCCUUCACUAUCUAAUCUCACUCGCAUUCUACAGCUCCACCUUUCUAAUAACAUGAUAACUGGUGAAAUAUCCCCUCAUUUCUUUGCUAAUUGGACCAGACUCAUUUCCCUUCAACUCUAUACCAAUCGACUCACCGGAGCAGUUCCAUCGAGAAUUAGUCUGCUGAGAAAUCUCCACCACUUGGACCUCUCCCAAAAUCAGAUAGUUGGUUCGAUACCUUCGGAAAUAGGAACGCUUAAAGAUCUCCUGUACCUAAGAUUGAGCACAAACAAUCUCACGGGUACCAUCCCUCCAUCUCUGGGUAAUUUGAGCCAGCUGACGUAUAUUGGCCUCCAUGAAAACCGAGUUUCGGGUCCUAUCCCACGAGAAAUAGGAAAUAUGAGGAAUCUGAUACAAGUGCACAUGUUCCGGAACCUUCUAAACGGUUCCAUUCCUUCCACUUUAGGAAACUUGACCCAGUUGAAUACCCUUCAUCUCUAUGAGAACGAAUUAUCGGGUCCUAUCCCAGAGGAAAUAGGAAAUUUGAGGAAUCUGACUCAAUUGCUCAUGGGCCGUAACAAUCUGAACGGUUCCAUUCCUUCCACCAUAGGAAACUUGACCCAGUUGGUUUACUUGCACCUCCUUAUGAAUAGUAUUUCAGGGCCAAUCCCUCAAGAAAUAGGAAAACUUGGGAAUUUGUAUCAGCUAGACCUGUCCACUAACCUUUUAACUGGUUCCUUGCCCUUUACUUUAGCAAAUCUAACUGAGCUUCCCUACUUAUACCUUUGUGGAAAUCAGAUUUCCGGACAGAUCUAUCCAGAAAUGGGCAAUCUUAAGGGUCUGUACGAGCUGCAGAUAUGUCGUAACAGUCUAACAGGUUCCAUUCCUUCCACUCUGGAAAACAUGACUUGGCUCACCAGCUUGGUGCUCUUUGAAAAUCAGCUCAGUGGUCCAAUCCCUCCAUCUCUCGGAAAUUUGAGAAGCCUAAAUCGACUCGCCCUAUUUAGAAAUAAUCUCACUGGUCCAAUCCCUCCGUCUCUUGGAAAUUUGAGAAGCCUAAUUGAACUCGCCCUAUCUGAAAAUAAUCUCACUGGUCCAAUCCCUCCAUCUCUGGGAAAUUUGAGAAGCCUAAUUCGACUCUCUCUAUUUUAUAAUCAGUUAUCUGGUUCAGUACCUCCAGAAAUCUCAAAUCCAACACGUUUGGAGAUUCUCUCUUUGUCUGGCAACAAUUUCUCUGGCCACCUACCUCAAGUAUGCCAAGGCGGAUCACUCAGAUACUUCACUGCAGUAAGCAACCAUUUCAGUGGUCCCCUCCCUGAAAGCCUGAGAAACUGCACCACUUUAACAAGAGUUCGGCUCGAAUAUAAUCAGCUCACAGGAAAUAUAUCCCAAGUUUUUGGUGUAUAUCCUGAUUUGGAGUUCAUUGACCUGAGUUACAAUAGAUUGUAUGGUGAGCUGUCGCCCAAUUGGGGAGAAUGUCGAAACCUAACACUACUAAAAAUCUCCAACAACAAUAUUACUGGUACAAUUCCGUUGCAAAUUGGGCAAUUGAGUAGGCUUCGAGAGCUCGAACUUUCAUCGAACAACUUAGAAGGAGAUAUUCCUAGUACCUUUGGGAUGUUGUCUCUGCUUUAUGAAUUGAGUUUAAAAAAUAACCAACUAUCCGGUUGGGUACCAGUUGAAAUUGGAAAACUAUCCAAUUUGGAGAUUCUUGACCUAUCGAAGAACAAACUGGGCGGGCCGAUACCUCAACAACUGGGGGACUGCUCCAAAUUGCGGUAUUUGAGCAUGAGUGAGAAUUAUUUGAAUGGGAGCAUUCCAUUUCAGAUAGGUAAUCUAGUUGGACUACAGUCUGAAUUGGCUUUCAGCCAUAACUUCCUUUCGGGAGAGAUACCCCAACAACUCGGGAAGCUGCACAUGCUGGAAAAGCUAAAUUUCUCCCACAACUCGCUCUCAGGUUCCAUUCCAUUGUCUUUCAAAGAGAUGUUCAGUUUAUCUUCCAUCGACUUAUCAUACAAUGAUUUGGAGGGCCCUCUCCCUGACAGCAAAGCAUUUCGUUUGGCUCCAUUAGAGGCAUUCAUUGAAAACGAAGGUCUAUGCGGUGAAGUAAAAGGCAUGCUACCAUGUAAUUCCUCUUCAAUAAACCCUGUUGGCAGAAAGAAAGACCUCAAAACUGUGUUCUUCAUCAUUACUCCCAUUGUGGCAGCAUUGUUUCUUCUAUUUGCAUUUGUUGUCAUUUAUUUCAUUUUUCUCCGGAGAUCACCAAGAAACGCAGAGAAAGGGGACAUCGAAAUGAACAAUGGAAAUCUAUUUGCAAUAUGGAAUUUUGAUGGAAAGACCGUGUAUGAAGACAUCAUCAUAGCAACAGAGGAUUUCAAUGACAAACAUUGCAUUGGGGUGGGAGGGUGUGGGAGAGUUUAUAAAGCAAAUCUACAAACCGGUCAGGUAGUAGCUGUGAAAAAACUUAACCCAUUAGAAGGGGGUGAGGGAGUGGACCAAAGAAGCUUUAGAAAUGAGAUACAAGCAUUAAUAGAAAUCCGACAUCGCAACAUUGUGAAGCUUUAUGGGUUCUGUUCGCAUGCUCGGUGCUCGUUUCUAGUGUACGAGUACAUGGAAAGGGGAAGCUUGGCUAGCAUCCUCAGCAGCUGUACAGAACGAGCUGUAGAAUUGGAUUGGGUGAAGAGGAUGAAGGUAAUCAGAGGAGUAUCCUAUGCAUUAUCAUAUAUGCACCACGAUUGCACCCCCCCUAUAGUUCACCGGGAUUUAUCGAGCAGCAAUAUUUUAUUGGAUUUGGAAUUUGAGGCCCGUGUCUCUGACUUCGGCACUGCUAGACUUCUAAAACCCGAUUCAUUGACCUGGUCUGCACUUGUGGGAACUUGUGGAUAUGUCGCUCCAGAGCUUGCAUACACAAUGAGGGUGACUGAGAAAUGCGAUGUAUAUAGCUUUGGAGUUGUAUCACUUGAACUAAUAAUGGGAAGGCAUCCUGGGGAUCUCUUGUCAUCCUUGGCAUCAUCAGGUGGCCAAGAUACAUUGUUGAUGGAUGUGUUAGACCAACGCCUCCCGCCCCCUACGCCUCAAGACUUGAAGGAUGUGGUUUGUGCAGCGAUGUUGGCACUUGCAUGCUUACGUGCCAGUCCUCAAACUCGGCCCACCAUGCAACACGUGUCCCAGGAGCUAUCUGCAGGCAGGACUCCUCUUAUCAAGGCUUUGCACACAGUUACAUUGUCUCAACUGGCAGAUAUCCAGGUAUGAUUGAUUAAAUAGGUUGAAAUUAUAGAGUAGAAAUGAAAAGCCAGAAAUGACAUAUCCAUCUCUCCACAGUACACAGGUAGGGAUAUUUAUUGAUCAGAGCUGUCCAUCUAGUUGGCACUGUCAUGUUUUAGAAAGCACGCCAAAUAUUAGACAAUCCUUUCCAUCACAUUUCUCCAUUUUGUUUGGUGAGUUUUUUUUUUUUUUUUUCCAUUAAUUACUUUGAUAAAUUUUUGAACAUUAAGUCUCUUGUUUUUUUAUUCCUAAGAGCUAUUGAAAUGUAUUGAUUUAAAAAUAAAUAAAAACAGCUAAACAGGGGAAGGCAUCAAACUACCCCUUAAAGGACAGAUGUUCGGCCUUUAAUGUCUUCAUCUCACACCUUUUUUAAGGCAUUCUUUUAGUUGGUUUGGAAAUAGCAUAUUUGUAUAAUUAUAAAAACUAUGCAUACAAAAGUAGGGACAACUAGAUGGACCGACCUGAUUGAUUACCCUGAAACUCAUAAGAUGGUGAGUUGAUUCUCCUAUAUUAUUUCCACGGGCACCACUGUAUCAUAUUCUCCCAUGAGGGAACGGAUAUGACGCUAACCACCAACAUCUAAAUUAGUUUUCAACCACUCAAUAUUUGUACAUGCAGCAGAUGGAUAGGAAAUCUGAAUUGUUCAUCUCUUAUAGGCCCUGUUGUGGAUGGGCUAUAUACCAAAACAAACACAAGCACAAAGAAGCUUCUGGUUGGAUAAAUUGUGCCUCAUGAAAUAUGAUAAUUUAUUGGACCUUUUCUAUGUAAUCCUCAUAAAUCUUUCAAUCAGUAGCUGGAGAACU